GAAGUCAGCAUAAUCUGGGUCUGAACCAGAUGUCCUGCUUCUGUAGCUCUGGGACACUGGAGCCUGGACAGCUGUGAGAUUUGGGGAUGUCAAAUACCCCAAGUACCUCCUUGAAGGAAAUGUUUAACAACUCGCUGUUUAAAUGAGGAGUUGAGAGAGCAGCUAGGGAAGGCAUUUUGGCUCUGCAUUCUGAAAAACUGACUUGUCUCAAAAUCUCUCCAUGUUCUUGUUGGUCUUUCUACUUUUUGGAUUUCAAGCAGAUGGCAGGGUCUUAUUUGGGGGCAGAUAUAAUUUUUAGCUUUGGGUUUGUUUCUGGAGAAGCCUAGAGCCAGAUGUAGUGGUCUUGGGGAAUUGGAAAGCCCCUCCCUCGACCUUCUCUACUUCUCUAAUACAUACCAGGAGAAAGGACUCAGAAGAAAUGGUUGGUACCUCCUCUUAGGGCAGGCAGAGAAUCAAAUAUGACAUCAGCACAGAUCAAACCUUAAGGGGCCAAUGGCCCAGAGCGGUUUUGCAGUGUUUUGAGCGGAGCCAAUACCACAAGACCAUGCAGAGAGCCUGUCCCAGGUUUCAUUGGUCUGUGCAGCAGAUAGAACAGCCAUCGGGUGGACCGCUUGCCCACAGUCCUUCCUGUUCUCCCCACAUGGUUUGCUCCGGAACUUUCUCAUCAAGCACCUCUUCAUCACAGGAGGUGGGAAAGACCAGAUGACAAGCAGAAGGUGUGCUGUGUCUUUGUCUGGUCAUUCUGCAAAGAAAAUGGGACCCUUACCUCUUCUGCUUCUGGUAAGAUUUUUGCCCUAUCUUGGGAGGGGAGGUAGUGGGAGCACUUCUUGCUGAGUCAGCACCAACUGCGUGUAGUAAGGAACGCUCAGCUACUAGCAAUAAUGUCUUGGACUCAAUUUUUCUGCCAAGGUCAGUUGAAAGCUGUAAGGGUGGCUGGGUGGACCAACCUCAGCCCUGGUUCCUUUGAAUACAAUAACUGGAAAAGUUCAUCCUUCAGCCCUGCUCCCUCCCCUUUCUCGCCGAAACUUCAGUUUUCUGGGCUGAGCCCCCAGGCAGAAAUUCUGUUCUCCUUCCUUCUUGAGCUGGAUGCUGGCAUUGCCAAGUUCUGCCGGGGCUGAGCGCCAGGUUGGCAAGGUAGCCCAUGCCCCUUGAUCAGAACCAGCUGGGCGUACAGAAGUUGGGCAGCGUCUUCCCAGGUUCGUUUCCCUCUAACGACUUUUACUUACAGACACCUCAGUUCUGUACCCAAAGACAGUCACAGCCACCUUGUCCCAGCCCAGCUUCCUCUCCUAGGGAGUCUCAGAGAAUCCCAGUAUAGUAGAGAGUUGAGGGAAGCGGAACCAGAAAGGACAGGGUUCUUUCAAAAACACAGUUUUUAGAUCCUUUUGGGAGAAGCAGGUGCCUGGGAAGGGCAGGAGACUCAGGAUGCGGGCUCAGAUGAGACAGAGCCAGCGCCUCUGCUGUAAAUUGGAAGGGAUUUAAGGAUUGGGAAGUAGGAAGCCGGGGUGGCAGAAGUUAAUGGAGUUACUGCUGUUUCUCAGAAAGAAGAAAGUCCCCUUCGGGGUUGGGCUUGGGAACCCGAGGGAUUUUUCUCUCCCAAUGGGAAAGGAAGAAUUGAAAACCUCCGGGAAGCAAUAGAUUGUUAGAGGAAGCAAUAGAUUGUUAGACAGGGUCUGCGGAAGGCUCUCGAGUCCUACCUGCAGGUCCGUCCCAUAGAAGGCAGCCAUGGACGCAUCAGCCACCAGAAGUAUUUCCACGAAGCGAGCCUCGGAUACAAAUCUCUUGCUCCUAGUUUUGGAUCCGAAGGGUGGUGUCACUUCGCGGGAGUCUUCUGUCUCUUUGCGCAACCCCUCUUUGUCCCGCUCCCUGUCCUCUUCGUUGUCACGUCUUCUCUGUCCCUGCCCAUCACCCAUCUCCACCUCCCAUUCUAGUCCUUGAGGGAGGGGGAAGACCUCCGCGGCAGCGAGCCCGGGGUCCUCGCGGCGCUGUCCCGGCCCCCAGCGCUGCAGGCGAUGCGGCUGGUCCAGGGAGUCCCCAGCGCCCUGUGGCUGGAUGGUGAACUCCUCUCCAGCCAGCAAGAAUGAGCCGCUCAGCCCACCACACAGGCUCAUCGCCGCCAGCGACUCCCGCUCUCCAUUCACUGUGCCAGAGAAGAAGCAGCCGCGCAGCCCCGGCUCGCCCCCGGCCGCCGCGCUCGAGCCCCCGAGUCGCUCGAUCUUGAACUCCGGCGCCAGGAAGCUGGCGUCCGGCGCCAGGCGCAGCACGAAGCUCUGGCCGAAGGCGGACAGGUGGAAGGCGAGCUCGCUCGCGCUGCUGGGCAACCGCGUGGGCACCACUAGCUCCGAGGCCUGCGUCCGGGUUCCCGGCCUCGCCGGGGCGCCGCAGACGAGUGGUGGCGGCGGCAGCUGCAAUAGCAGCAGCAGGAGGGGAGGCCACCGGGUGGCGGUGGGGUCGCGGAGCAUGGGGGCAGAGGGCUGCGGAGCGGGGGAGAGGGAAAAAGACUGCCGCGCUCGGGCAGGUGCUGGUGGCCCGAGGCGGCCGGGCCGCUCUGUCCAGGAAAAAUGAUCAAUCGGAUGAGGAGACCCACUCGGCCAGCGGCAGCAGGCGUGGCGGUCCCCUGGCGGCCCCUCUGGAUCGCGCAGCCCGCUCCUCCUGCGCCAGCCAAGCCAGCCAACCUACAGAACUCGAGCAGCUGGCGCCCCGGGCUGCGAGCGCGCGUCCUCCGCGGCGUCCCGUGCAGUCGCCUCCUUCCUCGGGAAACACCGAGUGGGCUGCCGAGCCCUUAGUAUUUAUACUUCCUUCCCGGCUUUGACAUAAGAGGUUUAUUUUUGAUCGCUCACUAUUCCCGUUUCCCCUCCCCUGGGGUCAGAGACAGAAACAGAAAAGGAGAGGAGGGGAAAAAAGGGAUGAAAUGUAAAACCAAUCAGGAGUCAGUGAGCCCCUCCCGACAGUUAAGUAGUUAAGUGUCAACUACAGCUUUUUUUCCCUUUCUACAUGACCACGUGAAGACCCACGCCAAUUCCUGUAAUGCUGGACACUCUCUGAAGGCAAGUCCUGGAUGGGAGAGACACUAGCUUCUUCUUGUGCUAGAGCUAGGUGCUGGGGACAGACACACUCUGCACUGGUCUCAGCGACAGUAUUCAGAUUCCUGUACAAACCUGGCAGUGUUAAAAGAGGUUUGUGGGGAAGGUUCUAAAGUCCUUAACGGUCAAAUACAAAGUGAGAGGUGGGAAAGUCAUACUGAAACCACACUGUCCAUUAAGAACCACCGCAGAACUUUAAGAAUGCCACUGGUCAAGGCUGGCAAGGACGCUUAAUGGCUUGCUUCUGAGCAUAGUGGGGUGAAAGGCUACCACCAGCAAGGCAAAAUAAAUUCAACACCACUAAUUUCCCAUUUCCUAUUGGUAGGAAGUACUUCACCAGUCUGCCUUCUGACAUACAGUUCUUCCAGUUGCCUUGGUGACAUGGGGAAAGGUGGCCAGGUCCCUUCGAUGGCAUUGCCCACAGCUCCAAAUACAUAUCAAUGUGUAAGAAGUUAACUCACUCUGCCAUACACCACACCUUCCUGCCGAAGAGAGUGGGAUCCAGGAAGAGUGAUGGCGGUCUUAAGACCACAGAACGCAACAUUUGUAUCCACUACAUUAUUAAGGGUGCAGGUCCAGAUUGAACUCAGAAUCAUGUUCUCUCAGUACCAGUACAAUUCCCAGGCCCCUGCCCUGCGUCCUUUCUGAGUGGCAAAUUACGGAGGGCACAGCACUUGGCAGCUAGCCUAUUCCCAACUACGACGCAGCUUUUUGCUUAUGUGGACAGAGGGUGCCUACAGCAGAGUCUUCUUUCCGUUUAGCCAGCCCAAUCCAUUUCUGUAGCUGUGAAGGAUUCCUUAGGGCUUGUUACCCACGAAGAGGAGGCUCUUAAAGUGACGUAUGUCACUACAGAACCUAGGGAAAGGCCCCGACACCCCAAGUUCUCUCCAUUUUAAUAGCAGUGCAAAGGAGCGGUUGAGAACCUUCAAGGUGCAGAAUCUCCUUCUUUUCCUAUACAGAGAACUGGAAGUUUGGGUGAAACACUCCUAGAGGCAGGGGAACGGGAAGCAUCUCUGCUUUUUACCAAAAAUGAGCAAGAUGCUCAUCCCUCAACAGUUUAAUAUCCCUGGGACAGUGUGACCUGUACAGUUAAAUGGGCAAUCCCAUUCGCCUCAGGGCUGUGGUGACAUUUCAAUUACUGGUCUUUGCUAUUAAGUUCCUUGUUCAUUAUUUUCCAGUUUGGAACUCUGUUGUUUUUUUCCUGGUUGUUUUUUUCUUUCUUGAUACAGGUUCUCACCGCAUAGUCCAGGCUGGCCUCAAACUUCUUAGCUUUUCACCUUCUAGACUUCUGAGUGCCGAGGUCACAGAUAAGUGCUGCGGCCUCACGCCUGGCUUUCAACUUUUGGUUUUCAAUAGUAGUUAGGCCCUUCACUUGAGCCUUCUUUCUCCUUUGUGACUAUCCUAUCCGAGAGCCCAGCUUCUCCUUUCUCCUUACAUGUUAGUAGCUAUAACCAGGCUGGGGAAAAUUAAAUGUCGCUUGUGUUUUCAUUUGGGAAAGCUCUGCAAACUGCAGCUGCUACUGUUGUAAAACAGAAAAACUGCCUUUGGAGACAGACACUGAACUGUGGACUUCAUCUCUGCCCCACUUUAUUAACAACCACAACUACAACCACACAAUAAUUGCUGUCUGGCAAACUAUCCUGGGAGCCGGCCUGGCUGCUAGGUAGAAACCUGCCGGCUUCAUCCUUGUGCCCUUAUGGUAACUUCCAGGGAUGUGCCUGCAGUUUGCAAUGCAGCCACAAGGUGUCAUCCGUACCUUAGUUAUGCUUAACCCAAGCCUUGCAGGGAUGGUGGGUGACUUGUAGAGAAGCCCCUGAGAAAUUUGGUGGGUGAAGUCCAUGCAGCAAAACAAACACUAUCCCAGCCCACCAGGGAAAAUCCCAAAUGGGUCGAUCGUGGACUUCCUACAUUGCCAUCUUGAGCCUCAAUAUAAUUGCCAAAAGGCUUGGCAAACUGUGGUGCCCGGACUAAGGCUGCUUUCAUAUAUUACACGGACUAAAUAAAAAUGUUUUAUGUAUUUUCAGUGGUAAAUAAACAAGUAAACUAUUACUAUUUCACGACGUUGAAAACGCCAUGAAAUCCAAACUUCCGUGUUUGGAAGAAAGUUUACUGGCCACAGACAUUCACAGGACCCUGGUUGCAUUUGAGCUGUAGAGGAUAUGGAAGAACGAGCUUAGAAUAUUUACUAUCUGGCUAUUUCUAGAAAGAGGUUGUUGACCAAAUGUAAAACAGCAUUGGUUUGAAUUUCUUAAAUUUGGAGCGUGGGAGAUAGAUGCCACCUAUAGGAUUCUUAGGAAGUAAGAAGCUCAAAAUAAUAUAUAUAUAUAUUUUGCUGUGAAUAUGAAUAGGAAAUUAUCUGAAAAGUUAAGAUGUCUUCAACUCUAUGUUUAACAGCUAUUCAUUAUUUAAUUGGCAUUUAAAUGAUUAAUUGCUUUUGUAUCGGCUUAAACUUUAGGCUUCACAUGCGCCCAUGAAGGUCAGAGGAAGGCAUGGGAUCCCCUGGAACUGGAGCUACAGAUAGUUGUAAGCUGCCAGAUGGGUGCUGGGAAUCAAAACUGAGGUCCCCUGGACGAGUGGCCGGUGUGUUUAAGGGCUGAUCUUUCUCUCUAGCUUCUUCAUUUUUCUUGACAUAUUCAUUUAUUUAUGUGUGUGUUUGUGUGAGUAUUUGUCCAUUUGCACAUAAUUCUACACAUGCAUGGAGACCAGAAGAAGGCCCUAGGUAUCCUGCCUUACCAUCCUCUGCCUAUUCUUUUGAGGCAGGUUCUCUCCCUGAGCCUGGGAUUUGCUUUUUCUUGACUAGGAUGGAAACCAGCAAAACCCAGAGAUUUUUUCCGUCUCCAUUUCUCUUGGAACUGGUUAUGGGGCUUGCAUGGGCACUCACGAAUAUACAGCACGCUCUCUCAACUGGUGCAUGGCUUUUGCAGCUCUGAAUGUUUGUUAUCUGAAGUUUUAAAUUAAUUCAUACUAUCUCUGCCUAUCACUAGUAAGAGACUUACCCCAUGCCUUUGUAGUGUGUACUAAGUUCUGGUGGUCUCUAGGCUUCCAGAUUCUUUCAAAACCGGGUGAGACACUAGUGGCCAACUAAUCCACUUCCGCUUGCAUUUUGAAGAAGAGGGCAAACGCAAACUUACCCAGAGUUGUGUACAUGAUGGUGGCUUUCCUGCCGUAAAGGCUAUGGUCCCUUCUACAGGGAGACAGAGAUUCCUUUGUAAUUUGUGUUUCUCCAUUAACACUGAGUUUCAACUGUGGGUGAGGCUUUGUCUUGUGUGUCCACUUUCACUGACUUGGUCUCAUUUGCUCCUUAGUGGUGAUAGCUACUCUCUUUUGAGUGCUUGCAGUUGCUAAAUGCUGACCUGAGGGGGCGGGGAGGGUUACACAGGUGAUGUGCAGGCUUGGGGUACUUGUGUAAAGUGCUUACGGUUCCUUGGGUAACACUCGGGAGAUACAGGAUUCUUCACAUGUGCAAACUGCUAAUCAUUGUUUUGGGAAGAACAUCUCACACAGAGUUAAGCCAUCAUAUUAUAGAACUAGAGAGGAAUGUUGGGAUACAAUAGACCAAUGGACCAAUGUCCUUCUUUGGGAGGAUGCUUAAAAGUCUCUCUCUCUCUCUCUCUCUCUCUCUCUCUCUCUCUCUCUCUCUCUCUCUCAUCUGGCCCUUCUGUCAAGGUUUCAAAGAAAGAAAGAAAAUGGCUCCUCUCAAAGUCCAGCCACAGCCCUUAAAUAUACAUACAUAAGCAAAGUUCACUCUUUUUAAACCUUUAUGUGCCAUAAGUAAGUUCAUUUUCUGUUAUUUAGACUAUCAUGAGGUGGCCACAACUCCACCUAACAGUCACUGGAGAAAGGGCUUCACAGUGCCUCUCUGUCCUGCCAUGGAACACGCAUCUCAGGCAUGCCUCAAUCCAUUUCCAGCAUCGAUUUCGCAUCGACUCACACCUGUUUUCUCCCGUACACAGGCUUCAGUGUUCGUCCGUCACGUGUAAGAGAGGCUCCACCGGUACCUCUAGCUUCUCGGUCCUUUCUUAGUCCCAAGUGAAACCUCUGGGAUAAAACUCAGUAUUUCCAGAACCAUUUGUUCAUGUGCUCAAGUCGGCCGUGGCAGAGAACCAGUUCUUCUGAUUAAUCCCUGCUCUCAUCUGGCUUCUGUGGUGUGCUCGGACAGUGUUCACAGCCAUGCUUCCGGUUGUGUUAUGGCUAUCACCGGGAAGCAGACUAGCAUGAACGACCUUAUGUAAAAGAAUAUCCCAUCACAGAAGAAUUUGAAGUCUCCUGAUUUUAGUCAUAAUGAGUGACUACAGAGGAGUGCCGCAGUUUACAUGAACUCACUGAGAACAUGAAGCUGACUUUUGUUUGUCUUAAAGGUGAUUGGGAAAGGGGCCAGGCCUGAGGACACAGAAAGAGAAUGGGUUUACAGCCUCAAGAAGUAGAGGCAGAGGGAGGACCAGAUGUGGCUUUCAUUGGAUUAUUGCAUUAUGUGUGUGUAUAGUUCUCCCACCUAACCUACUUGCUGAUCCACUUAUACACACACACAUGCACACAACAACCUUCCUACCCACUCAUAUACACACACAGGUACACACAUACAUAUACACACACAACUUACCUACCCAUUCAUUUACACACACAUACACACACAUACAACCUUCCUACCCAUCCAUCUACACACACACACACACACACACACACACAACUAACCUACCCAUUCAUUUACACACAUUCACAACCUUCCUAUGCACCUAUACACAUGCAUACACACACUACACACACUACACACACACACACACACACACACACACACACACACACACGAGUGGUGAUAAGAAACAAGGCUCACUUUUCUUUUUUCUUUUUUUUCUUUUUUCUUUUUUUUCGGAGCUGGGGACCGAACCCAGAGCCUUGCGCUUGCUAGGCAAGCGCUCUACCACUGAGCUAAAUCCCCAACCCCAAGGCUCACUUUUCUAUUUUUCUUUCCUACUUUUCUCUUGCUUGACCCCUGGCUUCCACUUCAUUCUCCUCUCUUCUCCUUGACUUUAUUCACAGUUUUUCUUCUUUCUGCAUCUUGUUCCUUCCUGCCUUUCCUCUCCUAGCUGCUCUCCACCUGUAUCUUCACUCUCCCCCCCCCCACCCCCCGGGGCUGGGGACCGAACCCAGGACCUUGCGCUUCCUAGGUAAGCGCUCUACCACUGAGCCAAAUCCCAACCCCUGUAUCUUCACUCUUAAUCAUUUCACAAACCUCCCGUGUGCCAGAGCUGGUUCUAGACAUCGGGACAAAGAAAUGAGGAAAGGUAGUCCUGAUGUUCCGAUUGUCUGUUUCAUCAAGACAGCCCUGGUCUCUCUUGAGACAGUCAAGUAACUGCCAGGUGACAUUACAGGUGCAAGAGUGACACUGUAUGGAAAAGCCUGGAGCAGAGAAUGAAAGCUGAGUGAACACUGCCAGUGGACUAAAGCAUUAAGUUAUCUGAGCCCAGAGAUAUGUGUGUUUUGAUGGGAAGAGAGCAGGUUGUGAAAGAUUCUGUCUGGGUGUUUUUCUUUUCUUCUUAACUUCAAUGAAUGAAUAGUUUAUUAGGCACUAGAAGGAGAAAACUCUUACAAAUGUGCAGCUGCAUGUGCGUACAUGCUCUCCCACACACUGACAUUGAAGUGCCAGGUGGCUCUGAUAAGAGGCGGGAAUUGGCUGGAUACAUUGUAGCAAGUCUGUAUUCCCAGCAUUAGGAAGGCCGAGGCAGGUGGGAUGCAAGUCUGAGGUUAGGCUGUGGGAAGAUCCUGAUUUAGAAAAGGCUGGAAAUGCAACUCUGUGGUAGAGCACUUGCCUAUCACGCCCAAGGCCCUGAGCUAAAUCCUCAGUCCUAGAGACAGAGAGCACCUUCACAGGUUCGCAGUGUGGGAAACUGCCGAGGAACACUGCUGGGGAAGUUUGGGUGGGGGGCAGUGUAUGAAAAGAUGAACUGUCUUCCGGGCAGCCAUCUAGACGCACCAAGGGCUUUUAAGCAGGGAAAUGACAUGGCUGCCUUGCUGUAGUUGGUAAUUAUCACAGAGACCCUCAGCUGGCUAAGGUGCAGAGGACAGGAGACUUCGGAAUUCUCCGCCCCAGAUGAGGCAUCUGUAUCACGUUCCCUCCUUGAUAUUGAUAGGCCCAAUGGUAUUUGUGAAGGAACGGGCGGGAAGACUGUAAGAGACAAGGGGUGGUGGGUGACAAAAGAAAAGCAUCAUUCAGACAAGAACCUACCUCAAUUGUGAUAAUAUAUACACAAGCCCCAUGCAAACUCAAGCCAGAACGAAUCCCUGCAAGAAGAGGGACAUCAACACGGAUGCUUUGCACGCAUGUACGCCUGUACACAGUGUGUGUGCCUGGUGCCUAUGGGGACCAGACCGUCCCUGGGAACUGGAGUUAUGGGUGGUUGCGAACUGUCACGUGGGUGCUGGAAAUCAAACCUGGGUCCUCUGGAAGAGGAACCUGUGCUCACAGGAUUUACUCACUUCUCCACCUCUGGAGUGGAACGGAGAGAUGGAGGAAGCUGGGAGGAAGGCAACGUCUAUCCACUAGGUUACUGCCAAAGAGAGAAAGCCUGAGAGAUGAGCAUCUUACCGCACAGUUCAAAAUGAGUCGCCAGACCAAAGACUCGGGGGCAGAAACCGACUUACUGCAAGCCUCCCCAUCAUGACGCUAUUGGUGUCAGGAAAAUGCUGGCUGGCUGGAGCAUGGUUAGCAGGUAGGCUCAGCUGCCGCUCUGCUUCUGCUGGUCUUCACUGGCGAGCGUCAUGUGUCUUAGAGUUGCAUUCAGCCUGCGUGCUGACAGCAAAGAUCGUCCUUUCUGGGUACUAUCUGAGGCUCCGCUAUCAGAACUUGGCUCUGAGAAAUGAUUUGACUCUUUUAAGGUGUAAAUAAAUACAUACCGAUGGGAGCCAUUUUUGAGCUGUUAUGACUUUCGCGUCAGUGUGAAUGAAAUGCUGGCAACACAGUCUAGAGAAAAGGGAGUGAAGAUGCGUGGGAAGAGUGAGAGAGCCACAGAAAGCAUAGUGGUG